rnacentral:rRNA from 1 species
CUACGGGUGGCUGCAGUGGGGAAUAUUGCACAAUGGACGAAAGUCUGAUGCAGCAACGCCGCGUGGAGGAUGACACAUUUCGGUGCGUAAACUCCUUUUAUAUAGGAAGAUAAUGACGGUACUAUAUGAAUAAGCGCCGGCUAACUCCGUGCCAGCAGCCGCGGUAAUACGGAGGGCGCAAGCGUUACUCGGAAUCACUGGGCGUAAAGAGCGUGUAGGCGGAUAGAUAAGUCAGGAGUGAAAUCCUAUGGCUCAACCAUAGAACUGCUCUUGAAACUGUCUAUCUAGAAUAUGGGAGAGGUAGAUGGAAUUUCUGGUGUAGGGGUAAAAUCCGUAGAGAUCAGAAGGAAUACCGAUUGCGAAGGCGAUCUACUGGAACAUUAUUGACGCUGAGACGCGAAGGCGUGGGGAGCAAACAGGAUUAGAUACCCGUGUAGUC